rnacentral:rRNA from 1 species
GACGUAGGGCGCGAGCGUUGUCCGGAUUUAUUGGGCGUAAAGAGCUCGUAGGCGGCUUGUCGCGUCGACCGUGAAAACUUGGGGCUCAACCCCAAGCCUGCGGUCGAUACGGGCAGGCUCGAGUUCGGUAGGGGAGACUGGAAUUCCUGGUGUAGCGGUGAAGUGCGCAGAUAUCAGGAGGAACACCGGUGGCGAAGGCGGGUCUCUGGGCCGAUACUGACGCUGAGGAGCGAAAGCGUGGGGAGCGAACAGG